rfam:[Clostridium] acidurici 9a chromosome, complete genome.
GGCCCUAUGGUCAAGCGGUUAAGACACCGCCCUUUCACGGCGGUAACCCGGGUUCGAAUCCCGGUAGGGUCA